UUUAAUAAUUGUGCUGGGCCUUAAUUCAUUCAUUUAAAAGAUGGGCCCUAUUAUUGUUUUAUUAAAUUGGGCUUUCUUAUUUUUAAUUAAUUGAACUAUUAUUAGUUUGAUUAAUUUAUUUAAAGGAUAAUUUUCAUAAUAAUAUUAAAUUAUUAUUAUGUGCAUAUUUUAAGUAAAUUACUUAUUAUAUGCUAAGCAUGACAUGAAAUUGCAUUAUAUUUUGCAAUAAAAGUAUUUAUGAUUUAAUUGGUUUUAUUUAUAAUUCCAAUUAUUUAAGAAAAUCGAGUAAGGAUAUUGUUGGCGUCCUUAACUCAAGAAUUUAGUUUUCAAUUAUUUAUUUAUUAAAUUUUGAAAACCCGGCUAAGUGAAUCAUAGAAUAUAAAACACUACACCAUGACUUAAGAUUAGUUUCAUGAGACCUAUUAAGAAUAGAAUUUAUUGUAGGCUUUGUGACCAGGGGGAUUAGCGCUGCUUUCCCAAGACAAGUUUAUAUGUGAUUAUGAUCUUCAGGCUUUGCCUAACCAGGUGGGCUUACUUUCCAAAUGUACAAAGUAUGAUUGAGUUAUUAAGCUCUAAAUGUUUCAAUAAAAUGCAAAUUAUUUAUUUAAUGUAAUGAAAACUGUUUAUCCAAUAAAAUGUUUAUGUGCACUCUGCUCUGUUUAAGGCUCGCGCAGUUAAUCAAUUGAGGUUCUCUUAUGACCUAAUACGUUGUUUGAGAAUUGUGUACACUUGUUAGUUGACUCGGUGGGUUGAUCUCCAUCGGGCUCUAACCAGAGGCGUUAUAAGGGUGCUCGGCUGGAUGUGUUCCGGAGCAUGAGAAAUAUCAGGCCUGCCUGGGUAGCGUCCCGAGGUCAAUUCAACUUGUCUGAGUUACGUCCUCAGGGCAAGUGUCAGCGGGAGACAGAGAUCCGUCGGUGGCUAGAGGUCCGGGAUCACAGCGAGUAACAGAAAGGGAGUGUGACAUGUUGGCUGGCCGGUGCUGACGGGACGGAGCUGAGGCUAGCGAUAAAUUCCUAUGUUAGACUUCCGCUGUAGCAAUUACUCAUAUCAAUCUUUUGUUUUUCCAACUUAAGAUCUUCAUGUUAAAUUUCAAAUGAUAUACCUGACCGAGCUUAGACUCUUCACUACUAAAUUUAUGCCAAUGAAUGUCGGUUGUCAGAAGCAUGAAACAAAACUUGUGAUCCAAAGGGGCAUAGCCCGACUUUCUAUCCUAUUUCGGGUUUUUACAAGGUUGUUCCUUGUUUAUUUCUA